rnacentral:rRNA from 1 species
GACGAACGCUGGCGGCGUGCCUAAUACAUGCAAGUAGGACGCAGUUGCGAACGGGUGAGUAACGCGUAGGUAACUACCUAUCAGAGGGGGAUAACUAUUGGAAACGAUAGCGAAUACCGCAUACUAGUAGAUGGACCUGCGUUGGAUUAGCUAGUAGGUAGGGUAAUGGCCUACCUAGGCAACGAUACAUCGCCGACCUUGUGGGGAGAUCGGCCACACUGGGACUGAGACACGGCCCAGACUCCCUCGGGAGGCAGCAGUAGGGAAUCUUCGGCAAUUGGGGGAACCCUGACCAAGCAACGCCGGGUGAUUUAAGGAGGUUUUCGGAUCUUAAAGCUCUGUUGUUAAGGGAGCGGUACUUAACCAGAAAGGGACGGCUAACUACGUGCCAGCAGCCGCGGUAAUUC